rnacentral:lncRNA from 1 species
UACAUAAAUAAAUCGUGAAAAAGCAAUAGUGAGCAAGCGUCGAGCAGGUAUACGAGCGGUUUUUUGAAGUUUUCAACCAGUUUUUUGAAGAGUCUGAACCAGUUUUUUGAAGUU